UACGUAGGGUGCGAGCGUUAAUCGGAAUUACUGGGCGUAAAGCGUGCGCAGGCGGUUUUGUAAGCCAGAUGUGAAAUCCCCGGGCUCAACCUGGGAAUGGCAUUUGGGACUGCAAGGCUGGAGUACGGCAGAGGAGACUGGAAUUCCUGGUGUAGCAGUGAAAUGCGUAGAUAAUCAGGAGGAAUACCGAUGGCGAAGGCAGGUCUCUGGGCUGAUACUGACGCUCAUGCACGAAAGCGUGGGGAGCAAACAGG
rnacentral:rRNA from 1 species